rnacentral:lncRNA from 1 species
CUCUCGAAAUUCAGCAACUGCUAACAGCGAGGAGGGGGUAAGUAAGAGACUUCCGGGGGCCAUCUCGUGGGACUUGAGAAGGAAGCUAACACCCAGGAAGCAGGAUCAGGGGAAGGGAAACACACACACAAAGCCCUGAUUAUCUUGUUUCAGCCUCUGGGUCCAGCUGAGCCCAAAGUCUUCCAUCCUGGAUUCUUGUUACAUGGGACAAUAAAUUUCCUUUUUUUUGCUUAAGUCAGUGUGAGUUGGGUUUCUACUACAGCAACUUAAAAAGCUCCGUCAGACACAAAUGUCUGGCCUGUUUGCAUUAUUUUUUUUUUCCCAAAAGCAGCUUUCCUCCCAUCAUCAUGUGAUGCCAUUUUUUUUUUUUUUUUUUUUUGUGGCAUGGUCUAGCUUUGUCGCCCAGGCUGGAGUGCAGUGGCACAAUCUGGGCUCACUGUAACCUCUGCCUCCCGGGUUCAAGCGAUUCUCAUGCCUCAGCCUCCCAAGUAGCUGAGACUUCAGGCAUGCGCUACCACGCCCAGCUAAUUUUUGUAUUUUUGGUAGAGACAAGGUUUCACCAUGUUGGCCAGGCUGGUCUCGAACUCCUGAGUUCAAGUGAUCCACCUGCCUCCGCCUCUCAAAGUGCUGGGAUUACAGGUGUGAGCCACUGCACCCGGCCAUGUGAUGCUAUUUCUAAGCACCAGUGUGGAAUAGAGUGUCAAAAUGUGGCAUCAGACUGCUGGGGCCGAGGCAGGCAGAUUUGGAUCAAAUUCCUGCUGCUCCCUCCAGACCUGACGCCCUUGGGCGAGGCCUUUCAUCUCUCAAAGUCUCAGUAGCCUCAUCUGUAAAUUGGGGAUAUUAAUAUCUCCCCUCACAGUGCAGAUGAAACAGGAAAAUGUUUGUUAAACCUUUUCACAUGCUGUUCCUUCUGCACAGAAUGCUCUUCCUUCUCUUCUUUGCUGACUUAGCAUCUAUUCAUCUUCAGAGUCUCAGCUCAAGAGUCAUUUUGUCAGAGCUAUCUCCCUAACCUCGUUGGCCAAGGCCCGUUGUUCUGUGAAAUUGUCCCAUCCUCUGGAGCUUUCAUUAAAGAAUCAAUGUGUCAUUCUAGGCAUGACUAUGUGAUUAAUGUCCACCUCCCCCACUAGAAUGUAAGUUCCAGGGGGACAGGGAAGUGUCAGUUUCUGCUCACCACUAUGUCUCCAGUACCCUGCACAGAACAGACCUUUGAGAAAUGGUCAAUGCAUUAACUGCUAUUGCACUAGACUCUAAUCAGAAGUUUUAGGAGGUUGGGUGCUCAGGCCUGUAAUCCCAGUGAUUUGGGAGGCCAUGGCAGGAUUGCUUGGGCCCAGGAGGGUGAGACCAACCUGGGCAACAUAGCGAGGCCCCCAUCUCUACAAAAAAAUUUUUUAAAAUUAGCUGGGUGUGGUGGUGCGUCCCUGUAGUCCUAGCUACUUGAGAAGCUGAGGUAGGAAGAUGGCUAGAGCCCAGGAGUUAGAGGCUGCAGUGAGCUAGGAUCCUGUCACUGCACUCCAGCCUGGGUGACAGAGCAAGACCUUGUCUCCAAAGAUAAAAACUAAAAAUUGAAAAAAAAAAGUUUUAGGUAAGUAGUGUUUCUUUGGACUCAGCCUACAUAGAAGUGAGCAUCUGAAAUUACUAGGAUGCUAUGAUUCCAGCAAGUGUCCACGUGGGUUCAUUCGACCCAAAACCAAUGGAGAUGAGCAUUGGUCUCUAUAUGACUAGCCUGAGCCAUGCAGAUGGCAGGUCUUCAUCCAUCAGCCAAUGGACAGUCACUGUUCCCUUAGGUCCAGGAAGGCAGGAACAGUGGCACACAGAAGGACAACUGGCCUUCAAAGAACCCAUAGAAGAGAUGAGCUUAAAAGGAAUGAGAUGAAGGCUGGGUGUGGUGGGUCAUACUUGUAAUCCCAGUGACUCAGGAGGCCUAGACAGGAGGAUUGUUUGAGGCCGGGAGUUUGAGACCAGCCUGGGUAACAUAGUGAGACCCCUGUCUCUAUAAAAAAAAAAAAAUUAAAAACUAGCCAGGACUGGUUAAUUAGCUUACAUCUGUCGUCAUAGCUACUCAGGAGGCUGAGGCCCAGGAGUUCAAGACUGCAGUAAGCCAUGAUCAUGCCACUGUACUCCAGCCUAGAGUCCAGGUUAUAUACUAGGUUAACAAAGAAGAUGCUAAUUUUAACAAGGAAAAGCAUUCUGUGCAGAAGGAACAGCAUGUGCAAAGGUUUAACACAUAUUUUCAUGUUGCAUCUGCACUGAGGGGGAAUAUUAAUAUCCCCAUUUUAUUCAUGAGGCUACUGAGCAUUUGAGAUAUGAAAGGCACUCCAGCCUUUUAUUCUUUUCUUGAGACAGGAAAAGAAUAAAAUAAAAUAAGGAUAUUGUGGGCUCUGGAGAAGACCUACCUGGGUUUGUAACUCAGCCCUGUCACUGACUAGCUGUGUGGCUUUGGACAGCCUUGAUCCAUCUGGAAGACUUGCUUUCCUCGUCAAUAAAACGGAGAUGUCAUCCCUGUGUUGCGAGGAGACAGACGGCUGGGUCCAAGUCUCUGCUCCUCCAUUCGCGUUGUGUGAACACGGCUCACUGGUUUACCAUUUAGAGCCUCAGUUUCCUUGACUGUAGGAUGAGGGAGCAACAGAAUCUAAUUCUUAGAGAGGUUGGAACGAUGAGGCCAGUUAAUGAAUUAAGUGCCAGCCACCAAGCCUGAACUUAAUAGAUACUCAAUGUAUGUGGCCACUGAUAUUCUUCUACUACUCCUAUAUUAGUAUUAUUAGUAGUAAUAUUAAUAUAAUGAAUGAGCUGGCUUAUGCCAAGCACCCAACACUGCCUGGGGCAUGAUCGGGCCCUUUCUCUUCUCCUGAUGUGUGUCCUGGCUCUGGCCACUGGCUGACCCACCCCAAUUAGGUGACUCUCAUGUUAAUAUUGACACACAAAGGAACCAGCUGGCGACCUCUGAACUCAUCCCACUUGGGAUCACAGGCUGAUUUUGGCCCCAGCCCUCAACUUUGAGAGCCGGACUCGUAAUCUCCUUUGACACCAAAAAGAGUUGGCCUCACCCCGACCUUUGCUCCCUGCUUCACUGAUUUCCGGUGUUUACUGGGCCUGAUGGGCGUCACAUUGCCCACAGCAUGGAUGUGGCCUGGAGGGAGCGGAGGGAGGCCUGGAUGGACCAGUGCUUGGGGAAGGAGUAGGGAGGGACAGGGCAAGUGGAGGCCUUUGGCUCAAGAAAACACACCUGCGACCGGGUGCAGUGGCUCAUGCCUUUAAUCCCAGCACUUUGGGAGGCCUUGGGGGGAGGUUCCCUUGAGGCCAGUUCAAGAUUAGCCAGGGCAAUGCAGCAAAAUCCUGUCUCUCAAAAAAAAAAAAAACAAAAAAAAUUAAUUAGCUUGGCAUGGCAGUGCACAACUAUAGUUCCAGCUACUCAAAAGUGAAAGGUAGGAGGAUGGCUUGAGGCCAAGAGUUCAAGACCAGCCUGGGCAACGAGCAAGACCCCAAUUUCUACAAAAAUAAAAUAAUUAGCCAAGUGUGGUGGCACAAACCUAUAGUCCUAGCUACUUGGGAGGCUGAGGUGGGAGGAUCACUGAGUCCAGGAAUUCAAGGUUACAGUGAGCUAUGAUGGCACCACUGCACUCCAGCCUGGGCGGCAGAGUGAGACUUUGUUUCUAUAUAAACAGAUAAAUCAAGCUCACCUGUAGAGGAUGUAUCCGUGGGGACAGAUUGCCAGACAGGGAGCCCCAUUAGGAGGACAACAGUCUACAAGGAGAUGGUAGUGAGUGCAUCUGAGUGUGUUGGCGAGAAACGGAGCCGGCAGGAAAGUCACCGGGAAAGUGGAAUGUACAGGGCCCCAACCAUUAGCCUGAGGGGUGUAGGGAGGAGAUUCUCUAGGGAGGAGGUCUCUUCUCAAAUGUACUCAACACAGGGUUUUGUCCCCUGUUGCUCUGGGCUUACAAGGAAGGAAUACAGAUGCCUCGCUCAGUGCUCCCCGACCCCCUGCCACCGCCGUGGGUGGUCUGCAUGAGAAAUGGCCCUUGUGCCUCUUCCCCAACACCAGCACCAGCCCUGUGCCUCGACCCCAAAACCAGCCUCAGCCCUACCUACCCCAACACUGAGCCCGGGAAACAGACCCAGAACCGGGUGAUGCCUGAGAGGAGUUACCAUGGCAACAGAUGUGCCGGCACAGACAGGGAGUUUUGCUGACCAUCCCCAGCCCGCUGGCCACCCCUAUAGAGGGGUGCAUGAACCAUAAACUGUCCUUGCAGCUGGCCCUGGGGACUUGGCACUGGACAUCCCUCCAAAGGAGAGGUCUCCUACAGACUAGUCACUAGACACAGAGCUCCAGGCCAACCUCCUGUUGGAGCUCUCUGGCUCUUCCAGCUUUCUCUACAUGACACCUUUGAUUACAGCCCCUCUGGAAGACCGUCUGCUUUCAUUUUCUCCUCGGGGCUGUCUCCCCCCUGCACUGUUGAUGGAAGAUGAGCUUCUAAGCCUCCUUUCUGUGAUGGGCGUGGAGCUCACAGGUGCGGUGGGGGAGGAUGAAGGAAGGGUCGAAAGAACUGAGGUUAGGGGUGAGGCCUCUGGAGCCAGACCUGCCUGAAUUUGACUCCGGCUCUGUCACUCACUGGCUGUGUGGCCUUGGGCCAGUUACUUAAUGUCUCUGAGCCUCCUUUCAUCAUCUGCAAACUGGUAGUGAUUACAGUAGCACUCACCUUAUUAGGUUGUGGUGAGGAUUAAAUGAGAUAAUACAUGAUAAAUCUUAGGACAGGGCCUGGCAGAAUAUAAACACUUAAUGUCCAUAACCUCUUCCCUUCACUAAAAUCACCCCAUUCCUAGGAAGAGAGGAACACAUUUUUGGCCAUGAGAAUUCACAGGGUUAAGUAAAAGUGUAAAAGAGUGAACAAGUGAGAAUUGAGAGUUUUGGGAAUUAGAAAGAAGGGUGCUUUCUUUUUUUCUUUCUUUUUUUUGAGACAGAGUUUCGCUCUUGUUGCCCAGGCUGGAGUGCGAUGGCGCCAUCUUGGCUCACUGCAACCUCCGCCUCCCAGGUUAAAGCGAUUCUCCUGCCUCAGCCUCUCAAGUAGUUGAGAUUACAGGCGCCUGCCACCACGCCCGGCUAAUUUUUUGUAUUUUUAGUAAAGACGGGGUUCCACCAUGUUGGCCAGGCUGGUCUCAAACUCCUGACCUCAGACCAUCCGCCCGCCUCAGCCUCCCAAAGUGCUGGGAUUACAGGCGUGAGCCACUAUGCCCAGCUGAAGGGUGCUUUCUUAAUAUACUCUGCACUAGACAGUAAGUUUUCAGGGAGCAGAAAGCAAAGUAAAAGUCUGUCUGAUUUUCCCCAAUCCUUCCAACACCUGACACAGGGCUAGGCACAAAGUUUUAUUUCCACAGUCUGAAAAUGCCAUCCGUUAUAAGAGGCAGCAUCCAUUUAAUUAGAGUAUUUCUCUUUCUUUUUCUUUUUUAAGAUGGAGUCUCGCUCUGCCACCCAGGCUGGAGUGCAGUGGUGUGAUUUCAGCUCACUGCAACUUCCACCUCCCAAGUUCAAGCGAUUCUUGUGCCUUGGCCUCUUGGGUAGCUGAGACUAUAGGCACGCAGCACCAUGCCUGGCUAAUUUUUAUAUUAUUAGUAGAGACAGGGUUUUGCCAUGUUGGCCAGGUUGGUCUCGAACUCCUGACCUCAAGUGAUUUGCCUGCCUCAGCCUUCCAAAGUGCCGGAGCAAAUGAAAAUGGGCAUUAUAUAUGUACUAGAUCCCAGUUUCAAAAUGUUAAAAAGAAAAAAAGUUCAUCUUAAAGCUGGAGAAAUAAAAUCAUAGGUCAUUAAUAAAUGGUAAUCGACUAUGUGAAUGGGUGGUUGCAGGAAAUGACAAUACAGUAGAAUGUAGUUAAAUACUCACUAUGCUCACUAUACUCACCAAUACUGGAAGAGUUAGAAAAGGUAUCCACCAUAACAAGCAGAGUGCAUCUGGGAAGACUUCCUGGAAGAGGCAGCCUAUGAGUGGGAAUAAGCAAAAACUAAGUUAUCUGACUUGGGGAGAGCAAGAAAUGGUGGUUGGGCAUAAGGGGUAGAGUCUUGAUAAACUAGGAGGCUGUGUGACCACCAUCAUCCCCCUCCUUAGGUAAUGGAGAAUGUCAGAAUUAUCCAGGAAGGUGACUUCUACGUCAGCUCAGAGAAGCCAGGACCAGAUCAGACAUGAGUCCCAGGGCAUGGGCCUGCACCAGGCUAGGCCCACAGGGGGCUUAAGGCACUGGUGGCAAAGCAGCCUGGGUUCAAAUCCCAGCUGCUCCUUAGCUGGGCAACUCUGAACUGGUUACUUGGCUUCUCUGGGCAUCAGAUCCCUCCUCACCCAGGAAGUAGGGCAGAUGACAGGGCUCUGAGGUCAGGCAUGUGCAGAAUCUGGUGUAUGGAAGGUGCUUCAUAAAUAUUAAAUUUAGAAUAGGAUGUGAUUUCUUUCUUUUUUUGAAAAGUUUUGAAAGGUAAAGGCCAUUAGCUUGGAGGCAGAAGACAGACCUCCCUGACUGCUGAAUUCCUGCCGGCCUGAAAUUGGAGCAUUCCAAGCUCCUCAGAUGAGUCAUAAGCCACCAAGAUUGUGAGCCUCUGGGUGAGUAUGAGUAGAAUUAGAUACUUCCUUUGUGGGGCUCAGUGCAAAAUGCAAAUGAGAGGUCGGCGCUAAAUACGAGAAUGUGCCCAUCAAGCUGCUUCUGUGGCCUCGCGCCUCGCAGCAGUCACAGAGCCUUCAGCUGGAAUCCUGGCAAACACUGUGGGCCCUCCCAUGGUCUGGGAUGUGCUUAAUCCGAACACAGCCCUGUGGAGUAGGUGCUAUUGUUAUCCUCAUAUUACAGAUGGGGAAACUGAGGCACAGAGGGAGGGACCACCAGCUGAGCCGCCAAAGGACAGGCAGCUGGUGGCAUGGCUUUUAAAAGGGAACCUGUGCCCCCGGAUCUGGAGACAUCUUAGCCCACUAGCCCCUUCUUUUAGGGUGAAAUACGCAUUCUGCGAAAUGGAGGCAGCUUGUAAUGGGGGUGAAGCCAAAUGCGAGAGGCCCGGGCAGCCGGAUUUUCAAUCCCAGUUCCCAGGGCACCUCCUUCCCACCGUACCCCGCUUCCUCCAGCAGGGAGCCCCCUCCCUCCAGCAGAACAGGGUCUGGCCUAGCCAACUUGCUACCGGGGCCGGGGGCCAAGAGUUAACGUCGGAAGGGAGCUCGAGAGAGUGUGAGAGCUAAAGGACAUGUCAAAUCAAUCAUAUUUAAACAAAAGCCUCUCCCGCCCAAGGGCCCUUUUAAAAGCUGCUUAUUUAAUUAAAAGUCCCAUUUUCCAUAUUUAUGGCCCUUAUUCAGUUAAAUAUUAACCGCUGGGGCCAGGGCUAGUGUGUGCUUUGUGAGCGGUGUGCGGGGAGGUUCAUUACCGCGGCCGGGAUUUACCAGACGGUGGCACGGCCGCGGCGGAUCAAUGCGGCCUGCCCUGGACAAACAUGCUGGGGGCGGCCGCGGGGGCCGGGUGGGGCGGCGGGGCCCGAGGGCGCCUCCUCACUCUCCGGCUGGGACUCAGCGACUCGGGGACGCCUUGUCUCUCUCCCUGUCUCUCGCUUCCACAUGCUGUCCCUGGGGCUGAGUCGUAGGCCUGGAGUCAGAGACAGAGAGACAGUGAGACCCAGAGAGAGAUAUAGAGAGGCCCAGAGAGAGAUAGCGAGAGACCCAGAGACAGUGAGAGACCCAGAAAGAGACAGAGAGACAGUGAGACCCAGAGAGAGAGAGAGAGAUACAGAGAGCCAGUGAGAGAUCCAGAGAGACAAUGAGACCCUGAGAGAGGCCCAGAGGUAGAUACAGAGAGAUAGUGAGAGACCCAGAGAGAGACCCAAAGACAGUAAGAGACCUAGAGAGAUAGUGAGAGACACCAAGAGAUACAGAAAGACAGUGAGAGACCCAGAGAGACAGAGACAGGGAGACACCCAGAGAGAGACACAGAGACAGUGAGAGACACAGAGAGAGACAUCGACAGUGAGAGACAGAGACAGAGACUGAGAGAUCCAAAGAGACACUGAGAGACCCAGCGAGACAGAGAUAGAGAGACACCCAGAGAGAGACACAGAGACAGUGAGAGACACAGAGAGAUCUAGAGACACUCCCAGUGAGACACAGAGACAGAGACUCAGAGAGACAGAGACAGGGAGACACCCAGAGAGAGACACAGAGACAGUGAGAGACACAAAGAAAGACACAGAAAGUGAGAGAUACAGAGAAACAGAGACUGAGAGACCCAGAAAGACAGUGAGAGACCCAGCGAGACAGAGACAGGAAGACACCAGAGAGAGACACAGAGACAGUGAGAGACACAGAGAGAUCUAGAGACACUCCCAGGGAGACAGAGACAGUGAGAAACCAGAGAGUCAGUGAGAGACAGCGGGUCGUGUUUCUCCGUGUCUGGCUGUGUCUAGGUUGAGACCAGGUCCAUACUUCUUAAAAUCCAACGAGAAAUUAAAAUGUUAAAAAAUUAAUAAGAAUUUCCUGUGCGUGGCUGCACAGGUGGCACACUCUGGGCCCUGGCAGCCUCUCUCUCUUACUAUGUGUGCUGGGGUGGGGCUGCAGAGGUACCAGGCAUGGGGUUAGAGGGGUGGAAGGCCCAUAAGAGCCCACGCGCUGCUCUUCCAGGCCCCAUUCACUGGAGAGAUGGGCAAAAAGAAAAACAGGGAAAGGGGGGAAUCUGGCAUGUAUUAAGGAUUUGACCUCACUCAGCUGCAGGGACAGGGGCAGAAAGAAAACAGCCACAGAAGAGGCCUAGAUCCAAGCAGAGGCGCUCCCGGCUGCAAAACACGCAUCACACGCAGAGCUUUAUCCAGGGCUUCCCUGCACCAGGCACCAGUGCUGGCCAGUGUUAACUUACGUCAUCCUCACUUCCAUCCUACAUAGGUCGUACGCUUUUGAUCCGCAUUUUACAGAUGGGAAAACUGAGGUUCCAGACAAGCAGGGAGUGAUCCUAGGGUCACUCAACCAGGGAGGGGCAGACCCAGGCUGUCUGCUCCUCAUCACACAGUAGAAAUCACCAGAGUUGCUCAGACCCAGCUGGGCACCAUCCUUGCCGUUUACAAGUUCCUGACCCUACCUGAGCCUCAGUUUCCUCAUCUGUGAAAUAGGGGAAUAAGAUUUUUGGGGACAUUUUGAAUCACGUUUUAUGGUUGCUCCAUCCCAGGCCCUCCACCCCACACUGCUGCUCCUGACCACUGCAAUUGAUCCCUGAACUCGCUGAUGUGACUCUCGGGGUGUCAGGGACAAAGCCAAAUGCACUUCCCAGUCUUCUGAGUACUCAAGGGGGCAGGGCUUUCUCUGUCCCUCACUGCAGGAAGCAGUGUGGUGAAUGGAAAAGGUGCACUGUAGAACCACAGACAAUCCCACCUUUGCCAUUUACUGGUUCUGCAAACUUAGGCUGCCUCACAUCACCACUCAGAGCCUCAGUUUCUCCAGCUGCAAAAUGGGAAUAAUGAUAGACCCUCCUCCUAGUUGUUCUGAGGAUUCAAUGACAUAAUUCUUGUAAUGGCUUAGCAGUGUGUGGCACGCAGUGAGCAUCAUUGCCAGCCCUAUAAAAGCCUGCAGGGGCUGCACAAAUGCUGCCAGCCUGUGCCUCCAAGGUGCCAUCUCUGAGGGGCAGUGGGGCUCCAUCAGUUCCAGCCCUGAGACCCGGCCAGUCUCCUGAGUGGCCUGGCAGAGGGAAACUUCUGCUCCAGUGCCACCUCUGGCCCUCCUGUGACCUUGGACCUGGAACAUGCCACUGCCCCUCCUGGGGCCUCAGCUUACCCAUCUGUGGAAUGAGGGGAUCAUUGGGUUUAGAGAAAUCUCUCUGGGCUAUUGCAGGGAUAAUGCAUCUCCGCAGCAGACAGGGUGAAGAAUUUAACCUAAAUGUGAAAAUAUCAUUGAAAUGUGCCCAUUUAUGCACAGGAAGGACUGUGCGACAACCAGGGCAAGCGCAUGGCUCCUGAGAGCUGUCUGUUAGGUGCCAACAGCCAGGUUGGGAAAGACAUCUCCUAUAUCACACACAUGCAUGCACACACAUGGUCAUAGGCACAUGCACACAAAAAACACAUGCAUGUAUGCACACAUGCACACAUGGGUAUGGACACACAUGAACACACACGCAUGUACACAAUGCACAUAGGGCAUGGGCACACUCAUGCAUGCAUAUGAAUGCAUGCAUGGGCACUGGCCUGCGCACACACAUACAUGCAUACACAUGCAUGGGCACACAUGCAUACACGGGCAUGAGUGCACAUUCACAUGAGCACAUAUACACACAUACAUGCUCUUGCAUGCAUAUACUCAGGCACAUGCACACACACAGACAUGCACACACACGGACAUGCACACACACGUGCACACACACGGACGUGAAGACACACACACAUGCACACAUGCACAAGGGCAUACACCUCAUCACAUCUUUUGCCCCAUGCUCUGCUUCUCCAUGUGGAUCCUGUUAAGAGCCUGGUGCCUGAUUUCUCCCACCACUACCUCCUCCCCAAAAAGAAAAAAAAUCUGAAAAGCCAGAUUAGAACUUCACAUACGCAUCGCUGGAAAAAAUCUAUGUCUCAUUUUCAUAUCUAGCAAAAUAAAAUGACAGCAGAGCACUCCAGCAAACCCCUAGAGGGGGGAGCGUGUCUGCCGAAGAUGAGGGGUGGUGGCGGGGAAGACACCUUUCCCAAAGGGAGGAGGCCCCGGGGCCAGAGGCACAGGAGGGGACCUUGGGCCUGGCGAGAGGCUGGAGGAUGAAAUCGAUCAGGCCAUUUUGUCCUGGGGCUGGAGGAAGGCUGGGGGGUCCUGGGAAGAGUCUAGGGGGUUGAAUGGAGGUUAGAAAGGCAGCGAGAGGGGGAGAGAAAGAGGAGGAAUAAAAUCCUGGGGAUGGUGGUGUGAGUGAGGGAGCGGGAGAGAGAGAGGGAGAGACACCAGGUUAUCAGAGAAGUGUGAAGACAAUAAUGCAAUCUGACAUUUCUGAAACAAGACCCCCCGGUUGCCAUGGCAACGUCUCAUGUGGGAGCAGCUCCCAGGAGACGGCUCCGAGAUGUACUAUAAAUGAUGUUUGAUUAGAAUUUAAAUCAUUUAGGCAGAGAGAAGAUAGGCCUUUUGUCAGCAAGGGGACCUGGGGGUGGGGAGGGAGGGGGGCCGGGGUUGUGGCGGGGGAGGGGGCACCGCUGGAGCCAGCAUGGGCGUGGGGAGCGGGAUCGGAGGUCAGCCAGGGGGUUGAUUACUUUUGCCCUCAGCUUCAUUUCCGUUUACAGUAACCUUUCCAUGGUGGCCAGAGGGACUCAGAGGGCAGGAGAGGAGAGACCUGGGGGGGAUGGGGGUGUGGGAAGGGAGUAAGGGAGAGCAGCAGAGCUGAAGGGAGAGAUGCGGAGAGACAGAGAGGAACGGACAGAGCAGAGAGACACAAGCGGGAGAGAGAAGCAGGAAGAGAGAGAAGGAGAGGGAAAGGAGAGGAAGAGAGACAGACACAGACGGGCAGAAACGAUGAGAGAGACGGAAAGAAGAGAGACCAGGAAAUGGACUGAGAGACACAGAUAGACGGUACAGAGACAGAGAGAGACUGAGAGACACAAAGGGGGAGACCUGGAGUGAAAACAUGGACUCUUGUGUCCACACACCCGGAAUCAUUUUCCAGCCUCUGAAAAAUGCAUCAGGAAUGUGGGUGCCCAUGCUGAGUCCUGAACUUAGAAAAACUCUGCCUCCACCUCCCACUUUGGUCCCCAUCCACAGGGAGAUUCCUUGGCCCUGGAGUUCCUGGGGAAGGGUUAGUGACCCUGGAAAAGAGGCACCAUGGGCUUCUGGUCCUAAGGAAAAUGGGCCAAUUUUACUGAGCUGCCAUGUAAAAUCUUAGACAAACCACCUCUCUGUUCUGAGCCUCAGUUUCCCCAUCUGUAACACAAAAAGUGUUAUAGAUGGAGAGUCAGAUCAGCCUAUGGGCAAUGAGCCCCCGUUCCCCAUUCAGUUUUUAUUUUUAGUUGCAUUAAUUGCCAGCAUUUAAAAGUUGGGAGCGUUUGCAAAAAAUGUUUAAUUUCUGGGUUCUCAAAAAAAUAGGAAAAUCUAUGCAUGCUGGGCCUGUAUUUCCACAUGGCAGCCAUGUGCUGGAAAGGAGGAGUAGUCCCCAUGUUUAAGCAGAGUAUGAGGGCUCCAGUUUACCACAGUUUCCACCAUUCCCUAUUGUCUUACACCCAGCUACUUUUCACACCUUCAUGGUGACUGCCUGCCCUCUGUAGGAAUUUGUGGGUUUUUGUUUGUUUGUUUUUUGGAGACAGAGUCCCACUUUGUCACACAGGCUGGAGUAUGGUGGCGUAAUCAUAGCUCACUGCAGCCUCGACCUCCCUCCUGGGCUUAAGUGAUCCUCCCACCUCAGCCUCCUGAGUAUCUGGAACUAUAGGAAUGUACCAUCACACCCGACUAAUUUUUGUAUUUUUUGUAGAGAUGGGGUGUCAGCAUGUUGCCCAAGCCAGUCUCCAACUCCUGGGCUUAAGUGAUCCUCCUGCCUCAGCCUUCCAAAGUGCUGGUGAACUUUCAAACUCUGCAAAUAAACUCCAGGAUCCUUAUGGCUCUAGCAAUCUAUUAACAUAUGGAUUGUAGACCUCAUACCUCAGUCACCAUGGUUUUGGGUGCCCAGGAUAAUAGAGUUCAUGGGGGUAAUCACAGAGUCAGAGCGAACUAUAUGGCCAUCCUCAUACACACUGUCAGAGCUCAAUAAAUGUUUAAUUAAUUAAUUAAUACAGGAAGAUGAGCCAAAAUGAUUAGGGAGACUGAAAUGAGAACCAUGAUGGGAAAUGGGUAGCUUUUUGAGAAAAUGGACUUGUACCACUGGGCACUGAGGAUAAAAGUGACCUGCUUGGGAGAAGCCCAGAAAGCAGAUGGGAGGGAGUUUGUAAGGAGGAAAAGAGCUGCUUUCAAAGAGGCCAUCUUGAAGUUCUCUAUCUUGGCACCUUCCUCAUGCCCACCAGGACACUUGUCACAACCUGGAAGUUUGUUGUUUGUGUAUUGGCCUGUGUGUGGUCUCUCCUCCCCGAGGAGACUGUGAACUCCAUGAGGAUAGAAACUAUAUCUGGCAGAGUCAGUGCCGUAGCCCCAGCACCCAGCAUAUAGUAGCUGCUUAGGAAACUCUGGAUGAAUAAAUGAGGGAAUGAGUCCCCUUUUCACAUACUUCUCCCAUUUUUGCUCUGAGUAUUUUAAAGCUAUCCGAGCCCCGUCCUCAUACUUUAUUAUUAUUGUUAUUAUUAUUAUUAAGACAAGGUCUCGCUUUGUUGCCCAGGCUGCAGUGCAGUGGCGUGAUUAUGGCUCACUGCAGCCUCGGCCUCCCAGGCUCAAGCAAUCCUUCCACCUCAACCUCCUGAGUAGCUGGGACUACAGACGUGCACCACCACGCCUGGCUAAUUUUUUAUUUUAUUUUUUGUAAAGGUGGGGUCUCAUCAUGUUGCCCAGGCUGGUCUCAAACUCCUGAGCUCAAGGGAGCCUCUCGCCUCCGCCUCCCCAAAGUGCCGGGAUUACAGACGUGAGCUACUGCGCCCGGCCCCUCAUGCUGUAUCAUUAAAUGCAAGCAGCUUGCUUUUAUGUUUUGUUCAUUUAAGGGAGCACUUCCCUUACUAGGAGUGGCAAUGAUAUGACCCUAGGCUAGUAAGAGGCACUUAAUGUCUCUGAACUUCAAUUUCUUCACCUUCAAAGUAGGGCUAAUACCUUCAUUCUGAGAAUGUUCUAAAAUUUAGGCAACAGGUCUAUAACAGUGUCUGGCAUGGAACAGGUGCUCAAUAAGUAGAAGCAAUUUUCAUGGUUGUAGACACUAGUAAUCUACUAGCAUGUGGUAGUCAUAUAAGUAAUAAGAAGACCCAAGGGAAGAGGCAAAUCUUGGGGUGAUGUGGACAUAGGGUGGAGAUAGGGAAGAAUUUGGAAUCCCUUUAGUAACAUUUCUCUUAGGCAGAGCUGUGUUCCCAAGAGUAUUUUCCUUUCUCAAUUUUAGGAUUUUGAAGCUUUGCUAUUGAGGAGGAUGGUGGAUUCAUCCUCCACCGUCACUAUCUUACAGUUCUGGAGGUCAAAAGCCUGACAUGGGACUCGCUGUGCUAAAAAUCAAGAACUGCACCCUUAGAGGCUUAGGGGAGAAUUGUUUCCUUGCCUUUUCCAGCUUCUAGAAGCUGCCCUUAAUCCUUGGCUCAUGGCCCCUUCCUUCAUCUUCAACCGAUAAUGGCCAUGGAACCUCUUGACCCUUCCAACUCCAAUCACACCGGUAAUGCCUGCCUGGAGCACUAUGUGAGGAAUGAUGUUGCAGCCAUGUCUGGACUUAUGGAGCAAGAAUGCUGUAAUUGAUUAGUGAUGUCUGCCAUGGGCAGGGAUGGAGUUACUCAGUUGCACAGUGCUUGGCACAAAGGAACUGCUUGUGGCAGCUGCCUCUGGUUACCCAUGUCAUGGUGUUCCUUUGGCCCAACUCUAAUUAAGUUGCAGCUGCAGUGGGCCAUUCUGUGCAAGCAAACUGAGAUUCACCAUGGUGACAGCACACAGCCUCCAGCAUGAGCUGUGUGUCUUUCCUCUUUUGGUCUUAGGCCCUGUUGGAUGUGAUGGGAGUCCACUCAACCAUACACAAUGCAGCCUGGACAUGGAGGGUUAUGACUUGUAUUACUUUCCUAUAGCGACUGUAUCAAAUUGCCACACACUGGGUGGCUUGAAGCAAUACCCCUUCACUAUCUUACAGUUCUGGAGGUCAAAAGCCUGACAUGGGAUUCGCUGUGCUAAAAAUCAAGAACUGCACCCUUAGAGGCUUAGGGGAGAAUUGUUUCCUUGCCUUUUCCAGCUUCUAGAAGCUGCCCUUAAUCCUUGGCUCAUGGUCCCUUCCUUUAUCUUCAAAGCAAGCAGUGUUUUGGGCUGAGUCUUUCUCUCAUUGCCAUCUCUGCUUGUCCCUCUGUCAUCCCCUCCCUUCCACUUAUCAGAGCUCUUGUGGUUACACGGGGCCCACCAGAUAGCCCAGCAUGGUCUUCCUGUUUUAAGGUCCGCUGGUUAGCAACCUUCAUUUCAUCUGCUCCCUUAAUACCCUUUGCCAUGUAACCGAACAUUUCACAUGCUCUGGAGAUUAGGAAAUGGGUAGCUUUAGAGGUCAUCAUUCUGCCUACCACAUCGCCCCUGGGGUCAGCCCCUCGUGACAGUGAAGGACAGUGGAUGCUGUUGCAGUCUUCUGGUCUUCAGUAGACAAUUCUGGAAAGCAUUCUCUACACCCCUCAACAGGUUCCAGAGAGAUUGAGUCUUUGUUAUCUGUAAUGGCACUUUUACAUUGACGUUCCUCCUUCCCUGACUUACUCUCCCUCAUCCCUCACUCCUGCUUCCAGAGAUCACUGGUCAAAUAAGUUAUCUGCACCCAAGUCCUUGUCUCAAGCUCUGCUUUCAGGAGAACCCAAACUAAAACAGUUCUGGCCAGGUGCAGUGGCUCACACCUGUAGUCCCAACACUUUGGGAAGCCAAGGUGGGUGGAUCACUUGAGGUUAGGAGUUCAAGACCAGCCUGGCCAAUAUGGUGAAACCCCAUCUCUACUAAAAAGACAAAAAAGCUGGGCAUGGUGGUGGGCGCCUGUAAUCUCAGCUAAGGAGACUGAGGCAGGAGAAUCACUUGAACCUGGGAGGCAGAAGUUGCAGUGAGCCGAGACCACACCACUGCACUCCAGUCUGGGUGACGGAGUGGAACUCUGUCUCAAAAACAUAAAAUAAAAUAAACAGGUCUUCAUAAACGUUGGCUAUUACAUUGGUCAAGCUGGAUGUGAUAGACACCUGGCACAAAGUGGCUUAAGCAAAAAGCAAUUUAUGUUCUCAUUGACUGAAAAGUUAAUGGUUAUAUCUAGGACUUCAGGCACAGCUGGAUCCAGGUCCUCAAACAAUGGCCUCAAGAGUUUGUCUUUUUUGAAAUCUCACUUGUACUUUCCUCUGUGUUGGCUUCAGCCUCAGGCACCCUCUCCCCAUACAUUGGCAACGAUGGUCGCCAGCUGCUCAGCCAUUGACCACAACAAAAAUGAGAGUGACUUUUACCCGAUAGUGCCAGGAAAGACACAGGAAUCCUUGUUCCUCAGUUCUGAUUGGCUCAUCUUGGGGCACAUGCCCGUGCCUGGACCAGUCACUAUGGGAGAGGGGAUGUGGCACUGUCGUUGGCCUUGGGUCACCUGCCUCUCCCACAAGUUGGGGGUGGAGUCAGCUACAUCAAGGCCACCUGGCCUGAGAGGGAGCAAGCUGCGGUUCCCCUAAAAGAACUGGAGUGCUUCUCACAUAACAAGGAGUCAAGUACGAGUCACAGACGUCCUCUACAAGUGAGAUCAUCGUGUACUGUUAAUUUUAGGUAAAUCUCUCGCAAGGAUGGGAGACAAGAUGCCGCCCAGCAGGUGGAGGCCUGGAGCUGGGAGGAGGGGAAGCUAGGCGUUGUGCCAGUCAUCAGUGCCAACCGGUCCUGGCUGCAGGGAAUUCUUGGGAUCAGAAAUCUACAGUCUGAGAACUUGUCUAUAAUUUUGCAAUUUCUAUUUUCUUUGCUACAAAGCAGAGAGAAAGCCAAAAGAAAAUAAAGUUCCUCUCAAAAAUGCCAGGCUGUCUGUGCCGGAUAAAAUGGCAUGUGAAGAGUGAAAGAGCCUUUUGUUGAGGCUUAGGGAGAAAGAAAAAGGGGCUGAGAGUAAGGGAAAUGUAUCGGAAGCCCCCCUGCCCGACCUGGGGAAGAGGCAAAACAGAGAUGGGAGGGAGAAGAGGGUUCCUCCUGCAUGAGCUGAGCCCAGGGAAGGUUUGAGUGUCUGAUCGUCAGGGAUCAUACAGACCCGGAUGUGACUCUCUCCUGCCACUUUCUAGUGGUGUGGCCUUGGGUAUGUUUUAGAAACUCUCUGAGCCUCGGUUUUCCCAUCUGUAAAAUGGGGCUGGAAAUAGUACUUCCUCAAAUGACUUAGGUGAAGAUUAAAUGAAAUAACAUAUACAAAGCCAUUAGCCUAAUGUGCUUGGCAUGUGAUAAGGGUUCAAGAAUUAAUAGUAACUGUUAUUAUGAUUGCUGUUUUUACUCUGAUUCCUUAUACCUGUCAAUAGUCAGGGUCAUCUGUCUCAAGGAAAACGGGUUCCCAGCUUGCUUUUAAUCAGAAGGCAGGAAGUGCAGUGGGCACAGAGACCUAGUAUGCUGUGUUCGCCUCCCGUUACUGCUGUCACAAAUUACCACGAACCUGGUGGCUUACAAUAGCAAACAUUUAUUCUCUUACAGUUUUGAGGGUCAGAAGUCCUGAGACUGGGCAUAGUGGUGCAUGCCUGUGGUCCCAGUUACUUGGGAGGCUGAGGCAGGAGGAUCGCUUGAAUCCAGGAGUUUGAGGCUAGCCUCGGCAAUAUAGCCAAGGGUCAGAUCCACACCAAAAGACUCACCCAGCCAACUCACAGAGUCACAAACAAAAUCAAUCAUUGUUCUGAGUUUUGAUAGGGUUUUUUUUUUAAGACCCUAUCUCUAAAAAAAAAAAAAAAGUCCCCAAAUCAAGGCAUCGGUAGGGCUACAUUCCUCCUGGAGGCUCUAGGAGCCUGUUUCUCUGCCUUUUCCAGCUUGUAGAGGCCACCGGCAUUCCUUGGCCUGUAGCUCCUUCUUCCUUCUUCAAGGUCAGCUGUGUAGCAUCUUCCAGUCUCUCUCUCUCUGCGUCCAUUAUCACAUCUCCUUCUCUGACUCUGCCUCCCUCUUAUAAAGAUCCCUGUGGCAACAUUGGACUCACCCAGAUAAUCCAGGAUCAUUUCCCCAGCUCAAGAUCUUUAACUGAAUCGCGCCCACAAAAUCCCUUUUGCCAUGGAAGGUCACAUAGUCAAAGGUUCUGGAGAUUAGGAUGUGGACAUUUGGGGUGGGGCAUUAUUUAGUGUGGCACCUGUGCUAAGCCUAGACAACAGGAAGGCACACAAGCUGAGUUGGCUUUGGGUCAGUUGGUGUUUAUGACACAGCAGCCCACCCCCAAAUUUAGGACUCAGAAUAACAAUUGAUUUUGUCUGUGACUCUGUGAGUUGGCUGGGUGACACUUUUGGUGUGGGCUGGCUCUGCUGGUCUUGGCCAGUCUUGCUCAUGUGUCUGCAGGCAGCUGGUAGGUUGAACAUUGGUUGAAUGAUCUAGGCCUCACUCCCGUGUCUGGCGGCUGGCUGGCUGUCCACAGGGAUAGGGGUCUCUCAUCAUCCAACAGGCUGGCGCAGGCUUCCUUGCUUGUAGGCAUCAGGUUCCAAGAGCCGAAGCUACAAGGCCACUUAAGGCUGAGGCUUGAAAUGGGCACAACAUUACUUCCCCUGCAUUCUAGGAGACAAAGCAAGACACAGAGCCAGGUCAGGUUCAAGGACUGGGGAAACAGACUCUACCUCCUGAUAGGAGGAGCUCCUAGAUAUCAUGGCCAUUUCUGACAGGGCCAGUUUCGGGCACUGUGCUAAGUGCUUUCAUUACGCUAUCUCAUUCCAUCCUCACAGUAACCCUUUGAGAUGAUAAGCACUAUUUAAAGGUCCCCAACUUACAGAUGGAAACGCUAAAGCUCACAGAGGUGCAGCCACUUGCCUAAGGUCGAACAGCUAGUGAGUGGCAGAGUGGGGACUUAGCCCUUAUGUCAUGAGCCACAAUAGACCCUUCUUGCAAAAGACAUGCAUUUUGAGAUGGCUGACCAGCACUAGAGAGGCUGACUAGAGGGGAAAUGUGGGUCUCACUUGAUACCGUUGCCCAAGCACUGAACUCACCAGCUCUGCUGCUAACCCCAAUGUGGCUUCCCAGGCCCCAUCUCCUGGGAGGCUGAGUGGAUUCCCAGCAGGGCAUCUUUUUUGAGGAGCUGGGAGCCCUUCCCUCACCCAUCCAGGAAUCUGGAAAUGGGCCUAUCACUUAUUGCUCCUUUUCCACCUAUGCAGGAAAGGGAGGAGGGACAGCUGGCUGGGGUGGAGGUGCCCAAAUCUGUCACUUUCCCCAUGAGUCUGACCUUUUUGUCCCAUCGCUUCUACACCUACGUGGGUCCAAGCCCCCAUUGCUUCUACCUGGAUGACACCAGAGCCUCCUCCCUGGUCUCUCUGCUUCCAUCCUGGCCUUACUGCCCCCCACAUCCAUUUCCCACUUGGUGGCCAGGGUGAGCCUCUGACAACCUAAGUCAGAUCCUAUCACUCCUUCCACGGCUCCUAUCUCAUGCAGGCUGAAACCAAGCACCUACCAGAUCCUGCCUGUGAUCUCUCUGAUCUCCCCUGAUCCCUACCACCCCGGCCUGGGUGCCCCAGGUACCCGCCCACUCAGGGACUCCAACCUGCUGUUCCUGGCCUGGAACAUUCCACCUCUAUGGCUCACUCCUUUAGUUCAUGCCAACGGCUUCUCAAAUGUCCGUUUGCCCCAGCCAGGCAUGGUGGCUCACACCUUUAAUUCCAGCACUUUGGGAGGCUGAGAUGGAAAGAUUACCUUGAGGCCGGGAAUUCAAGACCAUCCUGGGCAACAUAGCAAGACCCCUGUCUCUACAAAUGUCCCUUUGCAGGGAGGUGGGGUUUUUCCCUCCCCCUCCCCUCCCCUCCCCUCCCCUUCUCUCCCCUCCUCUCCCCUCCUCUCCUUUUUUUGCAUGUAAAAUAGUGACCCUUAUCGUUCUUGUCUGGCCUUUUAUUCUGUUUUGCUCUUCCUGCAUAGCAUGUCCUCCUAUAUAUGAUUUUGUGUGUCAAUGUAUUUAUUUACCAUCUGCCACCUCCAACAGACUGUCACCUCCACCAGGACAGGAAUUCUUUUUCUACCUAUUCUCUGCUGUGUUCCCAGUCCUAAGGCAGUGCCUGGUGUUGGCACAUAGUAGUUGCUCAGUAAAUACACUUUGUGCUGUUAAAUGAAUGAGCAAAUGAGUGAAUGAAUGGCAGGAACCCCUGGACCCCUUGCUCUCUGGGGGCACUGGGCACAGGAGGAGCCUGAUGGGAGCUGAGAGCUGAGAGGGCCCUCAUGGCACAGGUAGUUCUUACCUGGAGUCCCCGUGGAUUGAGGCACCAACAGGAGAGAGGGUGGCCAGCUCCGUGAAGUCAUUGGGUGCCCUCACCGGUUCUCCUUACAGCAUCCCCUCCCCCACUCCUUGGACAUUCAUUCUUCCAUUGCUGCCCACUGCUCAUUAAGCAGGAUCUGCUCUGUCUCUUGAAUCUUCUCUGAAACAGGCUUCUCCCAGCUUGUAGGAGAAAUGCCUUGCAGGUGAAGAUGGUGAGGAAGUUGGCCCUGAAAUAGCCCAGCCCCUCGAAGAGACAAACAGGGAGGAGCAUCAUUCAGGUGCUUCACUGGGAAAUGAACCAGGUAGGCCUCUCUCUGAGGGGCAGUGCUGACCACUCAGAGGCGGCAGUGCCUGUGGAGAAAAGGGAGAAGGAGUCCUGAAUCUGGGCCCUGCAAUCGCCUGUGCAUUUGGCCUCAGGGGAGUCGCUUAAACUCUCUGUGCUUCGGUUUCCUCAUCUGCAGAGUGGGCAUCAAGCUAUCUAACUCACAAUGUACAAUGUACACCGUGGCUUGCAGCUUCCAGUGCCUGCAGGGGCUGGGCAGGUGGGAAGACACUUGAAAGGCAUUGAGGGAUGGGCAACAUGUGAGCCCCAGCCCCUGUAUGGGGGUGGCCACUAUUCGGUCUUUGUCAUGCAGGAAGAGGGGCUCAGAAAGGCCAGCUGUGCUGAUUUUGCUUAAACCAGAUUUUGCUUAAAGGUGAAAUUUUCUUAUUUUUAAAAAUGACGGCACAUUCAGAUUAAAAGCAUUAAAAGGGACACACGAAAUCUGUUAACAAGUUUGCAAUCUGUGUUUCAGCCCAGAUAUAGAGGGGAAACUGAGGCAAAGAGAAUAGGAGCUGGUCACCCAGAAAGAUAGAGGGAGAAGUGUUUGUCAAGGGAGGGCAAGGGACAGACAACCCCCAAUCCACUUUUGUUUUCGGGAACCAGAAGGCUGUGGCUGCCUUUAGAACUGGUUCAUACUGAAACACAGAGACCUCCUUCUUUCCUCCUCUCUCCCAUGGUGAGGGAUGGUGUCUUAGUCCAUGUGGGCUGCUGUAGCAAAAAUACCAUAGGCUGGUUGGCUUAUAAACAAGAGAAAUUUAUUGCUCUUAGUUCUGGAGGCUGGAAAGUCCAAGAUCAAGAUGGCAGCAGAUUAGGUGUCUGGUGAGGACUUGUUUCCUUGUUCAUAGAUGGCACCUUCUAGCUGUGUCCUCACGUGGUGGGAGAGGUAAGGGAUUUUUCAGGGGUCUCUUUUCUAAGGGCACUAAUGCCAUUCAUGAGGGCUCCACCCUCAUGACCUAACCACCCCCUAAAGGCCCCACCUCCUAAUACCAUCACAUUAAGGGCAAGGAAUUUUGGGGGGACACAAACAUUAGACCACAGCAGAUGGUAUGGAUGGGAUUGAGGGAGAGAAAGUGUCAGAGCCAACAUAGAAGUUUCCAUUCUCUUUUUUGUCCCCCUACUUGGUGACUAAACAACAUUUCUCCAGUCUGGUUGGGGUGGGAAUCGGGUGGAUGGGGUAGGUAGGAGUGAGGUCUUCCAGCCUGGCUUGACGUCCUUUUUCCAGGAUAAUGUUCAUCUUAAAAUAACCUACUUCAAUGAACAUUCGGCCAAAAGACAAAAGGAAGGUAUUGCUAGGUAAUGUGCAGCCACUCUGUCACAGUCUUUUUUUUUUAAAUGAACACAAAUUCCUUGACUGUCUUCUUGCUGAGAGGUGAGGUCUCUGUCCCCCUCCUCUCCCUACUUGAAUCUGGAUGAGCUUGUGACUCACUUAUAACCAAGAAUAUGGAAGAAGUGAUGCUGUGUGAUCUCCUCAUGCCUGGAGCCUGUGAGCCUCUCUCUGAGAAGUCCAGUGCCCCUGAGCCCACCAUGCUGAAGAAGCCACCUGGAGAAGCCCCUGUUGACAGAGAGCCAGCAUCACCUGCCAGUCACCAGAAGGGAGCCAUCUCAGACAUCCAGCCCAGCUGAGCCUUCAACUGACUGCUGCCCCAACCAACAUGUGAACUGCAACCGCAUGAGAGACCCUCAAGUGAGAACCGCCCAGCUGAGCCUUUCCCAAGUUCCUGGCCCACAAAACCCAGAACAAAUUAAAAUGAGUGUUUUAAGCCAUUAAGGAGCAGGGUAAUUUGUUACACAGCAACAGUAACCAGGACACAUUCCCAAACCUAACUAGGAGGAAAUUUCCUCUUGAUAAAAAUGCUGAUUUUUUUAUUCAUCCUAGACCUUCAUAAGUCAGAAUCAUCUGUGGAUAAGGUAUAAGAAUCUGCAUUUUUUUUAAGACAAGCUCUCCCACCCCAGGUGAUUCAGAUGCACAGCCAGGUUUGGAAAUUUAAGACCUUGGAAGAGAGUCACAUUGCCUCUCUCUGAGUCUCAGCUUCCUUGUCUGUGAAUUGGGGAGGAGUGAGAGUUGGUGUGAGUAUCAAAGAAGACGCUGCAGGUAAAGUCUUUAGGGCCAGCCAGGCGUAGUGGCUCAUGCCUGUAAUCCCAGCACUUUGGGAGGCCAAGGCGGGUGGAUCAUGAGGUCAGGAGUUCAGCCUGGCCAAUAUGAUGAAACACUGUCUCUAUUAAAAAUACAAAAAAAUUAGCCAGGCAUGGUGCCAGGUGCCUGUAGUCCCAGCUACUCAGGAGGCUGAGACAGGAGAAUCGCUUGAGCCCAGGAAGCGGAGGUUGCAGUGAGCCGAGAUCACACCACUGCACUCCAGCCUGGGCGACAGAGCAAGACUCUGAGAAAAAAAAAAAAAAGUCUUUAAUAAGGCCAAGGCAUAUGGAAAGGACUCAGGAUUGGAACUGAAUAAUUAACCGUGGAUAUCAGUAUCAUUGAUACCAAUACUGUUGUUUUAUUGUAACUACUUCACUAUCAUGGGUUGAAUAGCGGCAUCAAAAAUAUAUGUCCAGUUCCUAACCCCUGAUGCCUGUGAAUGUGACCUUAUUUGGAAAUAGAGUCUUUGCAGAUGUAGUUAAAGAUCUCAAGAUAAGCUCGUCCUAGAUUUAGGGUGGGUCUUACAUCCAAUGACAAAUGUCCUUAUAAGAUACAGAAAAGGAGAAGAAGACCACAUGCAUACCCACAAGAAGAUGGAGGCAGAGACUGGAGUGAAGAAGCCACAAGCCAAGGAAUGGCUGGAGCCACCAGGAGCUGAAAGAGGCAACGAAGGAUCCUCCCCUGGAGACUUCAGAGGGAGCAUGGCCCUGCUGACACCUUGAUUUUGGAUUUCUGGCCCCCAGAACCAUGAGAGAAUAAAUUUCUGUUGUGUUAAGCCACAUAGUUUGUAGCAAUUUAUUACAGCUGCCCUUGGAAUCUAAUGCACCACUGUUCAGCAGGCACCACACCCAGCACUGGAAACACCAAGGUGAGGAAGGGGCCCAGUGUUUCCCUAGACACAAUGUCCUCAAAAGCAAGCUCUAUCCUGUGACCAUUCACAGAAGGGACAUGGAGUCACAGUAAUGAACAUAGGUGUCUAUGGCUUCCACCAAACCUAGAGAAGCCUUCCUCAAGUGGUCAUUUCUUCCAUCACUCUCCAAUGAGAACCAGGAACUCGAAUGCUCAAUUCUAACUCAACGGUGGAUCACAGGCUCUUUGCCUUCUGAUGCUGACCUGAGUGUAGCCAUAGAGCUUUGAGAAAGGAGACCAGAAUGCUAUGAAUUCAUCCACUCACCAAAUGUUUCCAGAGGGCCCCUUCUGUAAAAGGAACCAUGCCAGGCACAAGGUCCCUGCCCACACCAAGCCCAGAGCCUGGAGGAGGCUGCGGACCAGUGCACGGACAGACAGUGUGGGAAGGCAACUGUUGGAGGCAGGGUGGUGCAGUGGUUAGGAUUCUGGGCUCUGGAGCCUGCCUGAGCUGGGAUUCCAGCUUUGUCACUCCCUGACUGUGUGGCCUUGGGCAAGCCACUUAACCCUUUUAUGUCUCUGUUCCCUCAUCUCUAAAUAGGGGACAACAAUCACACCACCUUCAGAGGGUGGUGCUUGUGAGGACUAAAUGAGAAAAACCAGGCAAGUACUGAGCACAGUUCCUGGCACAGAGUAAGUGAUGAAUAAAGGCAUCAGGUGAUGAAGAAGGCUGGGGGUGGGUAGGAGAGAUUGUUCUGGCAGGGGGAAUAGCAAGUGCAAAGGCCUGGAGGGAACACAAGGAUGGCAGGUUUAGGCACCAGAUGGCUCUGGCAAGCCAGAGCCCAGAGGACAGAAGGUCCUAACCUAGUCUGGGUCACAGCCCAAACUGGGGAAGCCAAAAUCAGGAAAAUGCACCUAGUACUCACCAAAUACCAUCCCUGAUUUCAGGAAGGUCGUGGACCAGGAUUUACUAACCACAGCUCUAUUGACAUUUUGGGCCAGAUAAUUAUUUGGGGUGGGGACUCUCCUAUCCAUUGUAGGAUGUUAGCACCAUCGUUGACCUCCACCCACUAAAGGCCACUAGCACCUCCUGCCCCAGUUGUUAUGACCAGACUGUCUCCAGACAUUGCCAGAUGUCUCCUGGGGACACAAUUACCCUUGAUUAAGAACCAAGGCCCUAAACCAUCUCUCUCAGAUCCUGAAGCCUGGGCCACCUGCCUCUUUCCAUCUCUCCUGAAAUGUGGCUACCAGAUAUGGGAUGGAUGCUCAUCUUGACUGUGCUGGCCUGGAGAAGCCUGAGCAAAGGAAAGAGCACUGGAAAAGGAGUCAUUUAGGAGCUUAAGGCACUCAGAGAACUUACUAAAAUACCAAAUCUCAGGUCCCUCCAGGGGACAUUCUAGGGUUUUAUGAUUUGGGAUUUUAUGAUUUAUGGAUUUGAGCAGUGCAGCAGCAUGGAGAUGCACUGCCUUCCCUUCAAGAAAAGCCUCCUUGCCCCGCUGCGGGGGUGUGUUCUGUAGAUAACUUCCAGCUCAUCCGUGUUUGCUUCCUUCAAGGUCAUGCUUUUUCUGGGCUGCCCCUGGCCAGUGGCUGAGCGAGGCCCUGGGAGAUUGAGGGCAUGAUCUCCUUAGGGCGGCACCUGGCCAGUGAGCAUGGCAGUGGCACCAGGGCCAUGGUCAUUUCUGCCCAACUGAGGACUCCUCUAACCACCUUUGAUCUGCAGCUCCCCACUGGGCUGGCAGAAAUGUGUCAUAUCUGCACAUCUGUGGUCUGACCCGACCCCAUGCCCCAUCCUGCUUCCUCCCUUUGUUUUUUCCAGGUGUUAGAGCCCAGCAAACCCUCUGCACUUCCAACUAGCAUAGAUGCUCAGGGUAGAGCCUAGAAAUCUGAGUUUCAAAAUUGUUCCCCAAGUAAGGCCAUUGCUGAGUGAGGUCUGGGAGCCUCCAGGCUACACAGUCCCCCAGUUCUCUGCCAGCGCUGACAUUCUAGGGUUUUGUGAUUUGGGAGAAACUUGAUUUGGCCUGGGGGUGUGUUUGCAUGGGUGCAAUAAACCAUGCUGUCACGGGUUUUAUGGUUUCCUUCUCUGGGCACUGCUAGCAGUGGGUUUGAAAGGCUUCCCACCUGAAGAGGGAGAAGAAACCUGGGCUUGUGUUGUUCUAAUUCGAGUUCCCACCUAGAGGAAGGGGUAUUUCUAGGUCCUGUAACUUUCUCAUUAGAGUCAGGAGCCAUCAUUGUCCCCAUUUUACAGAUGAGGGGAAAAGUAUAACCUAAAGAAAGGAAUAAGGACUUCAGAGUCUGCAGAUAGUUUGUGGUGGACUUUAAGAUAAUCACUUACUUUCCCUGAGCCUCAGUUUCCUCAUCUGCAAAAUGAGUCAGUCAGUCAUUCAUGAACUUUAUUGAGUCCUUACUGUGUUGAGCACAGUUAUCAGGAAUGGGGAUUCAGCUGUGAAUAAGACAAGUAAGAUGGGACACACGUCAUGGAGUUUGCAUUCUAGAAGGGAGAUGGGCAAUAGACAGAUGAACAAAUAGUUUCAGAUAGGGUGAGUGCUGUGAAGACGGAGAAAUGGGGUGAUGAGGCAAUGAUGGGAACUGGGGUGAGGGUAGGCAGUAAUUGGAUGACAAGAGACAGCGACAAUUAAAAUGAGACCUCAAGGAUGAGAAGAAAUUAGCCACUGGAGGAGCUGGGGGAAUGGUGUGCCAGGCAGUGGGAACAGCAAAUGCAGAAACCUAAAGUGGGGAGGGAAUGAGCUUGGUGUGGGAAAGGAACCUCCCAGAGGUGCAGGGGGUGAGGGGAUGAGGGUGGAGAGGUUCCCCCUUCCAUGAGGACUUCAGCUGUUACUGUCCCUGAGAGGGGCAGCUCCUGGAGUUUGCAGCUGAGGAAAGCCAUGGUGAAGCUCACUUAGAAAAUGACUAAGGCUUACUUAGGAGAUAAUUCACUUAGGCUCACUUAGGAGAGGACUAAGGCUCACUUAGGAGCCUCCAUUUUUAGGAUAAAGGACUUGCCAAGGACACAAAGCCUACCACCCCAGCUUCUUCUCCCAGUCAUUCCCCUCUAGCACAGGAGAAGGCAAACCAGGCUGGGAAGUGCAGAGGCAGACCCCAAUACGCAGGUGUUCCUCCAAGCAGGCCAAGCUGGGACAGAAGGGGCAACAAAUCAGCCCCACAGAGCAAAGCACAUGGAGCACUUUGACGACCUGGACUGCUUCUGCCCAGCUCUGGGCCAUGUGACCCCGUGGUCACAUGACCAGCUCUAACUACCCCUCCCCGUGGAGGGAGAUCUGGGCUAAUUGCCAGGGAGACUGGGGUUAUAAAUUGUGUGGGGUUGGACAGAGGGAAAGUAGAGGCUGGCAUGUAGCUUUAAAUGGUUUUCUCCAACUCCGAGGUUUCCCUUUUGUUCCUUAAGCAUUUGUAACACACAAGCUUUGCUAUCCCCAGGGAACUGCGCCUGAACUCACUGGUGAAUUGGAAUUUUUGUCUUUCAUUAUUUUAUUUACUUAUUUUCCAGUUUUAUUGAGGUAUAAUUGAAAAGUUAAAAUGGCAUAUAUUCAAGAUGUCCAAUGUGAUUAUUCGACAUAUGAAUACACUGCAAAAUGAUUACCACAAUAAAAUUAAUUUUUUUAGUGGCCACUCUGGGCAAGGGAGGUACAGUUCCUGGUUUUGAGGCUGUUGUUUUGUUUUGUUUUUGUUCAUGGGAAGCUGCACCCUCCAUGCUUGGACACCUGCAUUUCUUGGGAAGCUUUUGAACGCUAUGACUUCUGGUCUCACCACUACCCCUCCAUUUCAGGCUCUCAUGGGUUCAGUCCUGGAUGCUGUAACAAAUUCUUCCCUCUCUUCCCAGGUGCUAGCCAGGAUCACUCCCUCCGAAGUCACACCAGAGGGAGGGCUGGAGGGAGAAUCAAAUGAAAGAGAGAGGGAGAGAAAGGAAGGAAGAGAAGGAGGGAGAAUGGAAGGAUGUAUGGAUUUGGAUGUAUGGGUUCCAUUCCUUCUACCCUGGCAAAAGCUUACUCAUCCUUCAGUGUCCAUCCAAAAUGGCAUCUCUUCUUGGGCACCAUCUCCAGAGUCUCCUGCAAGCAGGUAGCUACAUCCCACAAAACAACCACCCAUCUGACCAUGCAAGUGUGUGGGGGAAUGAAGACCAGCCCAGGAAUCUGAGAUGAAUGUUUUGCUUCUUGCUCUGCCACUGACUCACAGGGUACCCCAAGCAAGUCCCUUCACCUCCUCGGUCUCAGUUUCUCCAUUUAUACUACUAAGGCAGUGGACAUGAUGGCCUCAAGUCUCAACAUUUUUAUUCCCUGAAAAGAAACUCUUGGUGCUGAGUGGUCUUCUUCUGCCCUGACAUCUCACCUUUCAAACGCUUGUCUCUUCUCACCCCACCCACCACUUAGCAUGUGCUCUUGGAGAACACCCAGGACUCAGGGUCUCUGCACACAUCAUGAGUCCAGCUCAGCAUUUGAGGUGGAAUCAGAGGAAAGGAAGGAGAGUGGGGAGAAUAGUCAGUAUUUUGGCAAGCUCAUCAUACCUUCCCCCUUUGUAUAGAAACUUCAAACCAUUUCCCUUUGAAGGCACUACCUCCUUCCCCCAGUUAUAAAUGAGUGAAGGUCUCAAGCCUGGACAACCAAAUGCACAGUGAUUGGUUCAACUCUGGACCUGUGACUCAAGCCAGACCAAGGGAGUGACAUGCAGGGCUUUGCCUGGAACUAUUCUGAAAGGGGCACUCUCUUUCUGCUGGGCUACUGAUAAUAUGUGCAUCCGUGAUAGAAGAGCCUGCCUGAUAAUAAAGCCAAUAAGGGAAGAGCAGAGCCAAGAGAUGGUGGGAGAGCAGAUGCCUGAAAAUAUCAUUUGAGCCCCUGGGUCCAGCUGCACCUGAAGCCACCACGAUCUCCUGGACUUUGCAGUUACUUGAGUUCAUAAAUACCCUUUGGCAUUAAGCCAGAUUGAGUCUUAAUGCAUAUAGAAAUAAGAGAAAUGAGAAAAGAAAUUGAAAAGAGAGACAGCAGAGAACUGAUUCUCUACUAGAGCCUCCAGAAGGAAUCAACUCUGCCAACACCUUGAUUUUGGACUUGUGGCCUUCAGAACAGUGAAAUGAUAAACAUCUGUUAUUUUAAGGUACCUAGUGUGUAACAUUCCGUCAUGACAGCCCUAGGAAAUGAAUACAGCGAGGAAAAUCCUACCAGCACAAAGGCAUGGAGGUGCCAGGAUGUCUCCUCUGCGUGAAGAGUAGAUGUAGAUGAGGCUGGAAUUAUCUAUCCUAGCUGCCCAGACCCAUGUGCCUUUGUUUUAUGUAGUUACAGCACCUAUGAUACAUAUUUGUUACCAUGUAUGUCACUAUGAACCUCCUCUGGAGGACGGAGAAGUCAAAUACCUUAAUUAUUCCAACACAAGCUUGCGUGAACAGAUAAUCAUCACUACGAGUAUAUUGUGUGCCUGCUAAGCACCACACCUGAGAUAAGCAUUUGCUGUGGUUUGAAUGUCCCCUCCAAAGCUCAUGCUAAAAUUUAAUUGCCAUUGCAACAGUGUUGCAAGGUGAGAACUUUAAGAGAUGAUCAGGUCAUGAGAACUCUGCCCUCGUGAAUGGAUUAAUACCCUUAUCGCAGUAGUGGACCCCCCUUUUCUCUUGCUGUCUGUCUCUCAUGUUAGCUUGUGCUUCCUCCUUUCACCAUGGGAUAACACAGCAAGAAGCCCCUCACCAGAUGCUGGCACCUUGCUAUUGGACUUCCGGCCUCCAGAACUGAGAAAUACAUGUCUUUUCCUUAUAAAUUACCCAGUCUGUGGUAUUCUGUUAUAGCGGCAGAAAAUGGACUAAGACGGCAUUUUGCAUACAUUAUCUGUCUUAUUAAAAAUAAUGUUUUUGCCCAGGAACAUAGAUUCAAGUUGCCCUGAAUAUACAUUAUCUCCCUACAUUAUCUCUUUUAAUCCUCACCUAUUAGGUAGAUAAACUGCUAUUAUCCCCAUUUUGCAGGUGAAACCUCAAGCUCCCAAAGAACUGCAGCAUCGAGGAAAGUAAAACCAAUAGCUAGCAUGUUCAGUAGUCCCCUUUACCCAUGGUACAAUACAGUACGCUAAGAUAUUCUGAGAAAGUGAGAGGCCGCAUUCACGUAUCUUUUAUCGCAGUAUAUUGUUACAAUUGUUGUAUUUUAUUCGUUAUUGUUGUUAGUCUCUUAUUGUGCCUAAUUUAUAAAUUAAGCUUUACCACAGGCAUGUGUGUAUAGGAAAAAACAGUACGGAUGCUCCUCAACUCACAAUAGGGUUAUGUCCUGAUAAACCCUUCGUUCAGUUGAAAAGAUCUUUAAGUUGAAAAUGCAUUUAAUACCUCUAACCUACCAAACAUCAGAGCUUAGCCUAGCAUACCUUAAACAUCCUCAAAACACUUACACUAGCCUACAGUUGAAAAAAAAUCGUCUAACACAAAACCUAUUUUCUAACAAAGCACUGAAUAUCUCAUCUCUUAAUUUUAAUUUUUUUUUUUCUGAGUAACAGGCUGCUCUGUUACUCAGGCUGGAGUGCAGUGGCAUGAUCAUAGCUCACUGCAACCCUGAACUCCUGGGCUCAGGCCAUCCUCCCACCUCAGCCUCCUGAGUAGCUAGGAUACAAGUGCGUGCCACCACACCUGGCUAAUCUUUUAAUUUUUAUUUUUGUAGAGACGAGGUACUGUUUCCCAGGGUGGUCUUGAACUCCUGGCCUCAAGUGAUCCUCCCACCUUGGCCUCCCAAAGUGCUGGGAUUACAGGCGUGAACCACUGUGCCCAGCUUCUUCUUAUAUAUUGAAUACUGUACUUAAAGUAAAAAAUUGAAUGGUUGUAUGGGUACUGUAAGUAUGUUUUCUGCUGAAUGCAUAUCACUCUCACACCAUUGUAAAGUCAGAAAAUUAUAAGUCUAACCAUCAUAUGUUGGGGACCAUCUGUGUAUUACUAUCCAUGGUUUUAAGCAUCCACUAAAAGUCUUGAAAUGUAUCCCCCUCAGGUCAGGGGACACUGCUGUAAUAAUAAAAACAGCUUGCACUUCCACAAGAUUCAGACGUGCCAGAUAGUGGUCUAAGAGCUUUGCAUGCAUGUUAAUUCAUUUCACUCUCACAGUAACCUGAUGAGGGACUUACUAUGAUUCUUCCCAUUUUACAGGUGAGGAAACAGAAAUAAAAAGACACUAAGGGCUUGCUCAAGCUUGAGCUGGAAUUUGCACCCCGGCAGCCUCACUCUAGCUGCCUGUUACUUACUGCAGGCCUGUCGGGUGCCAGGCACUGUGCUGAGCAUUCUACAUAUUUCAUCCUCCCAGCCUCUCAGUGACCAAGUGCAGAAACCUGUGACCAUUUCAUACUGAAUAUUUGAAGGAUAAGCAAGUGAUCGUGGCACACAAAGGGACACUUACUUUGGUGCUUCCUUCAUCCUUAUUUGGUUUUGGACACAUUCCCUGCCUAACUCACCAGACUCCCCAAGGGCAUGGAACAUGUCUAAUGGAGCCUCGGAUCCCGCAUGUAUUGCACGGUUCCUGGCACGUAGUAGAUGCACAUGUUUUCGAACUGACCCAUCAUCUACAUGCGCUCUUGCAUGUGACAUGUCCUGGGAGGCCUCCUCAUCUCAUGACUGCCACAGCCAUGCUCACUGCCCAGGGCACCAGAAGGCAGAAGGCUGGUGAAGCGAUUUGGCUGAAUUCACUGCCUCCCUCUUGACGGAGGGGCUGAGGUGAGGAGGGAGAGGUGGCAGCAGGAUCCACUCCACUCCAAUGGUGCCCAGAUAGACCUAUACAUCACCCAACACAAAUAGAGCCACUCUGAGCAGUAUUGAGCGGAGUGCAGGCAGACAGUGCAAGGGAAGCUGGCCUCUUCAUCCAUCAGCGCCGCUGCUGCUGCCCAGGGGUGAGGACCAUGGUGGAGCCCCUUGCAGGUGCCCCCACAGAGCCCCCUGCCCCUAGUUGCCCCUCUGCAGAUGGGUGGAGGAUGACAGUUGCAUAGGGAUAGGAUCUUAUUGUAUAAAUCUCCUUUUGUGGCCCUGCCUGUCCUGGAUCCAAGCAGGAGGGGUGGUGGGCAAAUAGAAAGUGACAGCAGGACAUUUAUUGUUCUGAUGGACCAAUAGGGAAGCCGGGGUGGAGGCCAGCGGGGCAGCAGAUAGGUCAGUGUGGUCGGUGGUACUUACAACCGAUAGGAUCUAGAUGAGUCCAAGACAGAUGACUGCAGAGACAGCCAGCGCCCACCACAGCCCCAUCAGUAAGCCUGUGGGUAGGGAACAAGCUGGACAGCCCUCUGCAACCUGGCAUGGACGGGUGGAAGGUGUGGAUUUUCACGCCAGGUUGGGGAAGGUGGAUAAAAGGGUGGCAGUGGGAACAGCUUGGGUGGCGAUCUGGGGAGAGGACAAGAGACCCCUAGAUACAUACUGUCUCUUUCAUGUUCUAUCUUUCCAUGUCUCUGCCUCUGUCUCCUCAUCUAUGUUUGGUUUUCCUUUUUCUCUCUUGUCCCUUUCCUUCUCUUCCCUUCAUUCCUCCUUCUCUUCCCCUUUUCCCUUCCCCUUCUCUCUCUCCAUCUCUUUCUGUCUCUCCUUCCCUCCCUCUCUCUCUUCCUCUGUUUUUUCUCUGGGUGUGGGUGUGACUUUCUUAUUCUCCCCUCCUCCUCCCUCCUUCCCCCCCUCUCCUCUCUCUUUAUAGGUAUUCACUACAGCUAGCAUUUAUUGGGUGUGUGCUUUGUUCCGGACACUGUUCUGAGCUCUUCACACUUAUGGGCAUUCAUUCCUCAAUCCUCACACAGCCAGUGGGGCAGAUAUUGCUCCUGGCUCCUGGUAUCUCUUUCUGAGGGCCUUGUUUGCAUCUGGACCCAGGAUGCUCGUGUGUGACUUUUCUGGAAUCCAAGCACAUUGUGGCUGUUAAUAGUGAUGAUGAUGAUGAUGAUCAUGAUAAUCAUGAAGAUAAAAAAUUAUCAGGCAUUUUCUCUGUACUAAAUCCUUUAUGUAUAUCAUCUCCAGGAAUCCCCUGGGCACCUCCAAGAAGUAGGCAUUAUUAUCCCUACUCUACAAAUGAGGAAACUGAGGCCAAGAGAGGUUAAAUGAGUUGAUCAAGGUCACACAGUUGGUAAGACAUGAAGCAGGGCUGGAAACAAGGUCUUCUGGAACUUCACCUCACUGAUCUGCUACAGGAGGGAGUCUGGGAAGCCAUGGGAAGCCCAGUCAGGGCUGGAACUCUGGUCUACAAAUCAUCCCUCCCUGGGAACCUGGCUCAGGGGCCAGCCCCAUCACUGUCUCAGCAGAAACCAUUGGUCAUCUUAGCUAUAGCCUUUCACCAAGGAAGAAUGCCUAAAACCAUAUCCAUACCCAGGAAAGUCUGAGAAUUAUAGCUGAGCUUUCCAUCAAGAUGGCUGGCCUUGACUCAGAUUAGGUCAGAAAUUAAAAUAGCAAAUUCAAGGUUAUAACACUUUGAUCAUGGCUCACAUACAGUUCUUCUUUAACAAAAUCCCUAACAUGGAGUAAUCAAUAUUUCUGGGGCGUGUGCCAGGUCAACACCCUUCUUCACCUCACAUUCCCUCAUCCCCUAAUGGAGAAAGCCCUUGGGAGCCAUGUUGGUGUCAUGUGACCCUGCCUCCCAGGCUGAUUGGAUCAAGGGUGAUCACCUGAUCCAAGAUGGGCUAAUCAGAUCCUCUCUCACCUAAAGUUUGGAAUUGGGAAUCUAAUCUUUUUUCUUUUUAAUUUUUUAAAACUGUCACAUAAAAUAGUUUUAUAAUAUUUAAAUUAUGUAAAUAAUACAUGCUGAUUGUAAAAAAUAUUCAAACUUUUACAUAAAAAUAGAAGGAAGGCAAUAAAAAUUACCUGAAAGCCCAUCAUCCUGUUAGCCAUUUAUAUUUGGUGACCAUUCUUUCAUUCAUUUCUUUGUGUAUUAACUCACACACAUGUAUCUAAUUUUAUAUAAAUGGAAUUUUAAAUGAAUGGGCUCAUGUCACACGUGCUGGCUUAAACAUGGUCAUUUUUUUCUUAUAAUAGAGGGUUUUCUUUCUUUAUUCCUCCCUCACACCCUCUCUCCUCACUUUGUCCUCUUCUUUUUGCAUACCUUCCACUUCCUUACCCUCCCCCACCCCAGACCUAGCCCUAAUAACCAGUUCAUAACCUGAUGUAUUUUUUUUUUUGUGGUAAGCUGCAUAAUGGUCUCCAAAAGAGAUCCAUGUGGAACCUGUGAGUGUUUCCUUAUAUGGCAAAAAGGACUUGCAAAUGUGAUUAGAUUAAGGGCCUUGAGAUGGGGAGGUUAUCUGGAUUAUCUGAGUGGUCCUAAUGUAACCACAAGUAACCUUAUAAAAGGGAUGCAGGAGGAGUCCACGUUAGGGAAGAAGGCAACGUAAAGACAGAAGGAAAAAAUGCAGUGAUGCGGGUAUGAGCCAAUGCAUGCCAAAGCAGCCUCUAGAACCUGGAAAGAGCAAGGAAUGGAUUCUUCCUUGGAGCCUCCAGAAGCAGUCAGUCCUAUCAACAUCUUGCUUUUAGCCCUGUAAGGCUGGUUUUAGAUUUCUGACCUCCAGAGCUGUAAGAGAAAAAAUUUGUGUUGUCUUUGGCCACUCAGUACAUGGUAAUUUUUCACAGCAACAAUAGAAAACCAUUACAAAUUUUAGUACCAAGAGUGGAGUGCUACUGUAACAAGUACUUACACAUGUGCAAGUGACUUUGGAAUUGGGUGUUAGGUAGAAUCUGUAAGAAUUUUGAGGCACAUGACAGAAAAGGCCUAGAUUGCCUUAAACAGACUGCUGAUACGAAUGUGGUUGUUCAGCAUUUUGGGCGGCUGAAGUGAAUGGAUCACUUGAGCCCAGGAGUUGGAAACCAGCCGGGGCAACAUGGCAAAACCCCAUCUCUACAAAAACUACAAAAAUUAGCCAGGUGUGGUGGGACAUACCUGUGGUCCCAGCUACUUGGGAGACUGAGGUGGGAGGAUCGUUUAAGCCUGGGAG